AUUGAACGCUGGCGGAAUGCUUUACACAUGCAAGUCGAACGGCAGCACGGGGGCAGCCCUGGUGGCGAGUGGCGAACGGGUGAGUAAUACAUCGGAUCGUGCCCGGUCGUGGGGGAUAACGUAGCGAAAGUUACGCUAAUACCGCAUACGAUCUGAGGAUGAAAGCGGGGGACCUUCGGGCCUCGCGCGAUCGGAGCGGCCGAUGUCAGAUUAGGUAGUUGGUGGGGUAAAGGCCUACCAAGCCGACGAUCUGUAGCUGGUCUGAGAGGACGACCAGCCACACUGGGACUGAGACACGGCCCAGACUCCUACGGGAGGCAGCAGUGGGGAAUUUUGGACAAUGGGCGCAAGCCUGAUCCAGCCAUUCCGCGUGCAGGACGAAGGCCUUCGGGUUGUAAACUGCUUUUGUACGGAACGAAAAGGCUCUGGCUAAUACCUGGGGCUCAUGACGGUACCGUAAGAAUAAGCACCGGCUAACUACGUG
rnacentral:rRNA from 1 species